AUGACAGCAGAGGUUCGUGGGCUGCUAAAGACCAGAGAUGAAGCAUUCAGAUCAGGAGAUAAAGCAGCCCUCAAAACAGCAAGAGCCAAUCUGUCCUGUGGCAUCAAAAAUGCUAAACGGUCAUAUGUUCAAAAAAUAAUCACUUCACCGACAGCAGAGACACACAGAGCCUGUGGCAAGCCAUUCAGACCAUCACAGACUACAAGCCCCAGCCACAGGCCUGUGAUAAUGACACAUCACUCCCGGAUGCACUCCACCACUUUUCUUCACGGUUUGAAAUGCAGAAUGACACACCGGCACAAAAACUUGCUCAUACCUCCCAACGACCAGGUGCUCUGUCUGUCUCCAGCCGAUGUAAGGAAGACCCUAUCUAGGAUUAACCCACGUAAGGCUGAAGGUCCUGACAACAUACCUGGCCAUGUACUGAAAGACUGUGCUGCACAGUUGACAGAUGUCCUAGCAGAUAUCUUCAACACCUCGGUGAGCCAGGCAGUCGCCUCCACAAGUCUCAAAUCCACAACCAUCAUACCGGUACCAAAGAAAUCACUGGUGUCCUGUUUAAAUGACUACCGUCCCAUAGUGCUGACUUCAAUCAUGAUGAAGUGCUUUGAGAGGUUAGUCAUGCACAACAUAAAAACCAGCCUCCCCAACACACUCGAUCUGCUCCAGUUUGCAUACCGUCCAAACCAAUCUACAGAAGAUGCAAUUUCCUCCACUCUCCACCUGGCUCUUACGCCCUUAGAAAAUAAAGACUCCUAUGUCAGAAUGCUGUUCAUCGACUUCAGUUCAGCAUUCAACACAAUAAUCCCACAACAACUCAUUAAGAAACUAAACCUGCUGCGCUUUAACAAUUCCCUCUGUAAUUGGUUCCUGGACUUUCUAACUGUAAGGACCUCAGUCAGUCCGUGUCGGCCACAACACCUCGAGCACUACCACACUGAGCACAGGUGUCCCACAAGGCUGUGUGCUCAGCCGCUGCUCUUCACGCUGCUGACCCAUGACUGCACUGCCAAGUUCAGCUCCAACCACAACUGUGGUAGGUCUCAUCAGCAACAGCGAUGA
rnacentral:lncRNA from 1 species